rnacentral:rRNA from 1 species
CACGUAGGGCGCAAGCGUUGUCCGGAAUUAUUGGGCGUAAAGAGCUCGUAGGCGGUCUGUUGCGUCUGCUGUGAAAACUCGGGGCUUAACCCCGAGCCUGCAGUGGAUACGGGCAGACUAGAGGUAGGUAGGGGAGAAUGGAAUUCCCGGUGUAGCGGUGAAAUGCGCAGAUAUCGGGAGGAACACCGGUGGCGAAGGCGGUCUGCUGGGCAGUUGCUGACGCUGAGGCGCGACAGCGUGGGGAGCAAACAGG